GCGGUGGAGCAUGUGGUUUAAUUCGAAGCAACGCGAAGAACCUUACCAGAUCUUGACAUCCAAUUGACCAUCUUUUAAUCGAGAUUUUGCCUUUCGGGUACAAUUGAGACAGGUGGUGCAUGGUUGUCGUCAGCUCGUGUCGUGAGAUGUUGGGUUAAGUCCCGCAACGAGCGCAACCCUUGUGUUUAGUUGCAAACAGGUCAAGCUGUGCACUCUAGACAGACUGCCGUGGACAACACGGAGGAAGGUGGGGAUGACGUCAAAUCAUCAUGCCCCUUAUGAUCUGGGCUACAAACGUGAUACAAUGGCUGGAACAAAGGGAUGCGAAGCAGUGAUGUGGAGCGAAACCCAUAAAAACAGUCUCAGUUCGGAUUGAAGUCUGCAACUCGACUUCAUGAAGUCGGAAUCGCUAGUAAUCGCGGAUCAGAACGCCGCGGUGAAUACGUUCUCGGGGUUU
rnacentral:rRNA from 1 species